rnacentral:rRNA from 1 species
CCUACGGGUGGCAGCAGUGGGGAAUAUUGCGCAAUGGGCGAAAGCCUGACGCAGCGACGCCGCGUGAGGGAUGAAGGUCUUCGGAUCGUAAACCUCUGUUAGCAGGGAAGAACGGUCACUGUGCUAAUCAGCAGUGAAUUGACGGUACCUGACCAAGAAGCCCCGGCUAACUACGUGCCAGCAGCCGCGGGAAUACGUAGGGGGCAAGCGUUCUCCGGAUUUAUUGGGUGUAAAGGGGGCGCAGACGGCAAUGCAAGCCAGGGGUGAAAGCCCGGGGCCCAACCCCGGGACUGCUCUUGAAACUGGAUGGCUGGAGUACAGGAGGGGCAGGCGGAAUUCCUGGUGUAGCGGUGAAAUGCGUAGAUAUUAGGAGGAACACCGGUGGCGAAGGCGGCCUGCUGGACUGUGACUGACGUUGAGGCCCGAAGGCGUGGGGAGCAAACAGGAUUAGAUACCCUGGUAGUC